rnacentral:piRNA from 1 species
AACAAAACCAUGAGUAGACGUCUCCACAA